rnacentral:rRNA from 1 species
GAUGAACGCUGGCGGCGUGCCUAAUACAUGCAAGUCGAGCGAAGCGGGGACGGGUGAGUAACACGUGUAUGACCUCCUAUAAGACUGGGAUAACUUCGGGAAACCGGAGCUAAACCGGAUACUUAAAGGUGGAGCCGCUCUGCAUUAGCUGGGUGGGAAGGUAACGGCGUACCAAGGCAACGAUGCAUCGCCGACCUUAGAGGGUGAUCGGCCACACUGGGACUGAGACACGGUCCAGACUCCUACGGGAGGCAGCAGUAGGGAAUCUUCCGCAAUGGGCGAAAGCCUGACGGAGCAAUGCCGCGUGAGUGAUGAAGGUCUUCGGAUUGUAAAACUCUGUUAUUAGGGAAGCGGUACCUACUCAGAAAGCCACGGCUAACUCCGUGCCAGCAGCCGCGGUAAUAC